rnacentral:rRNA from 1 species
GGGUUGUGAGGUUAAGCGACUAAGCGUACACGGUGGAUGCCCUGGCAGUCAGAGGCGAUGAAGGACGUGCUAAUCUGCGAUAAGCGCCGGUAAGGUGAUAUGAACCGUUAUAACCGGCGAUUUCCGAAUGGGGAAACCCAGUGUGAUUCGUCACACUAUCAUUAACUGAAUCCAUAGGUUAAUGAGGCGAACCGGGGGAACUGAAACAUCUAAGUACCCCGAGGAAAAGAAAUCAACCGAGAUUCCCCCAGUAGCGGCGAGCGAACGGGGAGGAGCCCAGAGCCUGAAUCAGCAUGUGUGUUAGUGGAAGCGUCUGGAAAGGCGCGCGAUACAGGGUGACAGCCCCGUACACAAAAGCGCAUGUGCUGUGAGCUCGAUGAGUAGGGCGGGACACGUGGUAUCCUGUCUGAAUAUGGGGGGACCAUCCUCCAAGGCUAAAUACUCCUGACUGACCGAUAGUGAACCAGUACCGUGAGGGAAAGGCGAAAAGAACCCCGGCGAGGGGAGUGAAAAAGAACCUGAAACCGUGUACGUACAAGCAGUGGGAGCACCCUUUGGGGUGUGACUGCGUACCUUUUGUAUAAUGGGUCAGCGACUUAUAUUCUGUAGCAAGGUUAACCGUAUAGGGGAGCCGGAGGGAAACCGAGUCUUAAUUGGGCGUUAAGUUGCAGGGUAUAGACCCGAAACCCGGUGAUCUAGCCAUGGGCAGGUUGAAGGUUGGGUAACACUAACUGGAGGACCGAACCGACUAAUGUUGAAAAAUUAGCGGAUGACCUGUGGCUGGGGGUGAAAGGCCAAUCAAACCGGGAGAUAGCUGGUUCUCCCCGAAAGCUAUUUAGGUAGCGCCUCGUGAAUUCAUCUCCGGGGGUAGAGCACUGUUUCGGCUAGGGGGCCAUCCCGGCUUACCAACCCGAUGCAAACUGCGAAUACCGGAGAAUGUUAUCACGGGAGACACACGGCGGGUGCUAACGUCCGUCGUGAAGAGGGAAACAACCCAGACCGCCAGCUAAGGUCCCAAAGUCAUGGUUAAGUGGGAAACGAUGUGGGAAGGCCCAGACAGCCAGGAUGUUGGCUUAGAAGCAGCCAUCAUUUAAAGAAAGCGUAAUAGCUCACUGGUCGAGUCGGCCUGCGCGGAAGAUGUAACGGGGCUAAACCAUGCACCGAAGCUGCGGCAGCGACGCUUAUGCGUUGUUGGGUAGGGGAGCGUUCUGUAAGCCUGUGAAGGUGGCCUGUGAGGGUUGCUGGAGGUAUCAGAAGUGCGAAUGCUGACAUAAGUAACGAUAAAGCGGGUGAAAAGCCCGCUCGCCGGAAGACCAAGGGUUCCUGUCCAACGUUAAUCGGGGCAGGGUGAGUCGACCCCUAAGGCGAGGCCGAAAGGCGUAGUCGAUGGGAAACGGGUUAAUAUUCCCGUACUUGGUGUUACUGCGAAGGGGGGACGGAGAAGGCUAUGUUGGCCGGGCGACGGUUGUCCCGGUUUAAGCGUGUAGGUGUGUGUUCCAGGUAAAUCCGGUUCACUUUAACACUGAGGCGUGACGACGAGGCACUACGGUGCUGAAGCAACAAAUGCCCUGCUUCCAGGAAAAGCCUCUAAGCAUCAGGUAACAUCAAAUCGUACCCCAAACCGACACAGGUGGUCAGGUAGAGAAUACCAAGGCGCUUGAGAGAACUCGGGUGAAGGAACUAGGCAAAAUGGUGCCGUAACUUCGGGAGAAGGCACGCUGACACGUAGGUGAAGUGAUUUACUCAUGGAGCUGAAGUCAGUCGAAGAUACCAGCUGGCUGCAACUGUUUAUUAAAAACACAGCACUGUGCAAACACGAAAGUGGACGUAUACGGUGUGACGCCUGCCCGGUGCCGGAAGGUUAAUUGAUGGGGUCAGCGCAAGCGAAGCUCCUGAUCGAAGCCCCGGUAAACGGCGGCCGUAACUAUAACGGUCCUAAGGUAGCGAAAUUCCUUGUCGGGUAAGUUCCGACCUGCACGAAUGGCGUAAUGAUGGCCAGGCUGUCUCCACCCGAGACUCAGUGAAAUUGAACUCGCUGUGAAGAUGCAGUGUACCCGCGGCAAGACGGAAAGACCCCGUGAACCUUUACUAUAGCUUGACACUGAACAUUGAGCCUUGAUGUGUAG